CAGAGUUGAUCCUGGCUCAGGACGAACGCUGGCGGCGUGCCUAACACAUGCAAGUCGAGCGGAGACAGUGAGUAGCUUGCUAUGAGCUGUUUUAGCGUCGGACGGGUGAGUAACGCGUGAGCAACCUUUCCCAGACAGGGGAAUAACACACCGAAAGGUGUACUAAUACCGCAUAAGACCACGGGAUCACAUGGUUCUGGGGUAAAAGAUUUAUCGGUUUGGGGUGGGCUCGCGUCCGAUUAGGUAGUUGGUGAGGUAACGG
rnacentral:rRNA from 1 species